UUAUUCUAGUGUCAUAUAUUAACACAACAUGAAAUAAUACAUAGAAUAUUAGCAUGUUCGCUGUGUAAGUAUGACAUGCAAAUUAGUGAAGUGCUUCAGGUCUUU